ensembl:lncRNA
UGGAACAAGAAGGAAGUUGCAUCACAGAAUCCGAGCCGGUCUUCUCAAAGCCCCACAAGAGAUUUCCAAAAGAUCUUAAUUGUUAUCCAUUUGAGUUAUUAAAGCAACAAAAUAGAAGCCGCUUGUGGCAUUUGAUGCAACUGUUGUUUAAGGGUUUUCAGACCUACCUACCUAUAUUCCACCAUGGAACUUCGGUCUGAUCAACGCCUCAAAAAGGCAAAGGGCCAUCGCAUUUCUGCAGAGCUCCAACAUGCAGAGCCCCUACCAGUACAAAUUGCAUAUGGAUCAAGUCCCAGUAAAAUGCACGGCAGUGCUGCUCCCUGUGAUGAAAGAAGGUUUCAAGAGGCAGGUACUACAGCGAAGCCACCAAUGAAGUGCUUCUACUCUUCACAUACCCUCACUGAGGAGGUCCCACUGCCUCCCAGCCCUCCACCUGGCGUGAUGGACAUGGGAGACACUCUUGAGAUCAACGUAAAAAGAUUCAGAUUUUCUUCUCCGGAUGGACUCACACUUCCCCGAAGUUACCCACACGCUGCCGAUGAGUUGGGCACGGGAGACACUCCCGAGAAAACGAACUCCGGAGAAAAACAAGACUUGAAGGAGGCUGGGUGUCCGUCUCCGCUCUCCCCGCCUCUCAGCAGGAAGGCUCGUGAGAUGGCCCGGCCUCCAAGUCCUCCCGUGCCGCACGUGGGACCCAUUCGCGGAGAGAAGAGGUACCGAGACUUAGGAAACAUCGUCUUCCCUUGUCUAGAUGAUGACAGUGAUCCUAAGCCUCCCAACCUGUUGCAUCAGGAGGUUCCUCUAUGUCCAAGUCCUCCUCCACCCGUGCUUUACAUGGGACACACUCACCAAAAAAGAUACCCGGAUUUGAGAAACAUCGUCUUCCCUUGUCUAGAUGAUGACAGUGAUCCUAAGCCUCCCAACCCGUUGCAUCAGGAGGUUCCUCUAUGGCCAAGUCCUCCUCCACCUGUGCUUUACAUGGGACACACUCACCAGAAAAGGUACCCGGAUUUGAGAAACAUCGUCUUCCCUUGUCUAGAUGUCCAGGGGCCUGAUUCGGUGCCCCCCGGCUGGCUGUGUGGGAGCCAUAUUGGACCACACCAAGAGAAGAUAUAGAUUUAUCUACUGUUACUUUUCCUUGUCUGGACGCAGACAUAUGAGUCACACAACAUAAAAUCCUAAAAUGUUCAAAUUAAUAAAUACUAAAUAAAAAAUAAAAUUAAAAGUGAUGAAAAUAAA